UACGGAGGGUGCAAACGUUGCUCGGAAUCAUUGGGCGUAAAGCGCACGUAGGCGGCCCAGCAAGUCGGGUGUGAAAGCCCUCGGCUUAACCGAGGAAGUGCAUUCGAAACUACUGAGCUUGAAUACUGGAGAGGAUCGCGGAAUUCCCGGUGUAGAGGUGAAAUUCGUAGAUAUCGGGAGGAACACCAGUGGCGAAGGCGACGAUCUGGACAGAUAUUGGCGCUGAGGUGCGAAAGCGUGGGGAGCAAACAGG
rnacentral:rRNA from 1 species